CCGCGGGAGCCGCUCGGGUUUGCAGCGCUGCUCUGGGGCCGGGCACGAUUGAGUCACUCUCACAAGGUCACCCAGGGAAUGGCUGCAGCUGCCAGGAACAGCACCCCGGGUGCCUUGUCCCUCUGGAGCCCACCCUCAGCACUCCAGCCUCCUUUCCGUGGGUUAUGAAACUUUCUGCAGCAGGAUUUGAAGCAGCCAGAUUCCAGAUUAGAUCAAAGACCCUAGGAUUCACUUGUGAUUUCUGUCUGUAUUUUGCAGCCAGCUGUAAGUGAAGCCUCAGUUCCUGUGGUAAUGCUCUUGGAGACAGAGCCUGAUGGAAUCUGCAGGGUGGGCAUGGAUGGAUGGAUGGACCCUGCAGCCACAGAGGGCUCCCAGACCCUGCACCCAUCCAGCAGAGCACCCUGGGCCCCCAAAUGCCAGCACGGAGCAGAUGUGUCCAGCAAGGAGGAUUAACUGCCUGGGACAGCCAAGGACAGCCUGAGCUGUGGGCCUGAAAUGCAGAAACUCGUCUGCUCAUAAUCUGUGGGGGUGAGUUUUAGAAUAAAGCCAAGAGUGCUCUGAUCACAGCCCAAAAUACUGAUAUAAAUGGUGGAAGGAAUGGAUGUCUGUAGUACAAUGCAGAGGUAUAUGUUAUCUGUAGUAUAAUAUAUAUAAUGUACAUGCAGACAUUUUUCUUCCUGGCACACCAGGAGUUUUAAACCAAAUGAGUACAAAAGCAAUUUACUUAAGAAAAUGUUAGGCAUGUUGCACUGGAAAUGGAACUGGUUAUAUUACUUUACCCCAAAAUAAUGUACUUGAUGUCUUUGGGUGCCAAGUGAAGCCUUUCUGAACAAUGCUAUGUUUUUGUGGCCAUCUCGGCCAGGUUUGUUCUUUCUACUUGAUGAACUGUGCACAGAGAAGUGGAUUUCCAGGGAAUGGAUUUUUUUGCCCUUUGGAAAUGUGUGAAAGGACAGGAGCAUAUGGACUUGGCAUGCCCCAGGCACGGCUGUGGGAGCCUGGGAACAUUUCGUGCCUGCAGCAAGUGUAGGAAGAAGGGAGGAGGAGAGGAGCAGGAUGAGCUG